rnacentral:rRNA from 1 species
AGAGUUUGAUCCUGGCUCAGAUUGAACGCUGGCGGCAUGCUUUACACAUGCAAGUCGAACGGCAGCAUGGGUGCUUGCACCUGAUGGCGAGUGGCGGACGGGUGAGUAAUGCAUCGGGACGUGUCUGUAAGAGGGGGAUAACUGUUCGAAAGAACAGCUAAUACCGCAUAAUAUCCGAGGAAGAAAGCUGGGGACCUUAGGGCCUGGCGCUUACAGGGCGACCGAUGUCUGAUUAGCUAGUUGGUAGGGUAAAAGCCUACCAAGGCGACGAUCAGUAGCUGGUCUGAGAGGACGACCAGCCACACUGGGACUGAGAAACGGCCCAGACUCCUACGGGAGGCAGCAAUGGGGAAUUUUGGACAAUGGGGGCAACCCUGAUCCAGCAAUGCCGCGUGUCUGAAGAAGGCCUUCGGGUUGUAAAGGACUUUUGUUGGGGAGCAAGGUGCACAGGUUAAGAGCUAGUGUACUUGAGAGUACCCAAAGAAUAAGGACCGGCUAACUACGUGCCAGCAGCCGCGGUAAUACGUAGGGUCCAAGCGUUAAUCGGAAUUACUGGGCGUAAAGAGUGCGCAGGCGGCUUUGUAAGCUUGAUGUGAAAUCCCCGGGCUCAACCUGGGAACUGCAUUGAGGACUGCAAGGCUAGAGUGUAGCAGAGGGGGGUAGAAUUCCACGUGUAGCGGUGAAAUGCGUAGA